GAUUUAACAAAUUAACUGACCCAUGAUUCAAUAAUACAAGGUAGGAUAACCUGACAGUUGUCUCGCUCCCGCAUUCUGCCUUAGCCUGUGUUGCUUGCUUUUUUGAUUCAUAGAAACUACUACUAAAAUACAAGGAGAAAUAUUGCCUUCGUAUAAUAAAAAGUUCA